GGAGGAGUGGCCGAGCGGCUGAAGGCAGCGGUCUUGAAAACCGCCGAUGGGCAACUAUCCGUGAGUUCGAAUCUCACCUCCUCCGCCA
rnacentral:tRNA from 1 species